rnacentral:lncRNA from 1 species
AAUUUUAUUCUUAAAAUCUAAAAUAAAAUUUGAAAAUUUUAAGAUCUAAUUUAUCGCUUUAGAUAUUUUUAAGUUUUAUUUGAAAAUUAUUAAUAUUUUUGAUUAAAAUUAGUAUAGUUGGAUAUUAAAAUGGCACAGUUUAAAAGUAAAUUUUAAAAUGAGAAAAAUAAUUAUUUUCGGUAUUAAACUGGGUAGGAAGAAAGUUUGGGUAUUAAAAACAAUUAAAGAAAUUUAGUUGGAGUAUUUUUAUGUAAUUUUUCCAAUAUGUUAUUUUUUUAAUUUAGCGGUUCAUGUUAUCGAUCUAAUCUGAAACUAAUUUUGACAAUACAUAAAAUUUUGAACUUGGAAACAAAUGGUUGAUAUUUAAAAAAAAUACUAGAUUUUGACCCGUGCGUGUAUUUUUUAAAAAUAUGAUGCUAUUUGUUUUUUAUGCCACUGUUUAGGGUUGGGCAAAAAACUCUAAUUCGAAGAAUCGAACCGAUCCCA